rnacentral:lncRNA from 1 species
CGGCAUCGCUCAAAGCGCUCAAAAUCUGGAGAUGAAUCUCGUGACCGACACAAAGAUAGGGUUUCAUCUCGUCAUCGUUCUCGAUCUAGAGAUGGAGAGAGGGAUCGACAGCGGAGUAGCCGAGAACAUAGAGAUAAGGACAGAGGUAGAGAUAGGGAGAGGGAUAGAGAUAGGGAGGAGAGAAAUGGGAAAGAGAGGGACAGGGAUAGAGAUCGGGAGCGUGAUCAUGAUAAGGACAGGAGGGAGCGCGACCGUGACAGUGAAAAGGACAGGGAGAAGGAAAGAGAGCGGUCGCGUCGAAGCAGGAGUCGAUCUGAAAGGCGUCAGAGCGAUUUGGAUGAAAGGGAAACAGAAAAGAGCCGUGAC